rnacentral:rRNA from 1 species
UGGGGAAUUUUGGACAAUGGGCGCAAGCCUGAUCCAGCCAUGCCGCGUGCGGGAAGAAGGCCUUCGGGUUGUAAACCGCUUUUGUCAGGGAAGAAAUCUUCUGAGUUAAUACCUCGGGAGGAUGACGGUACCUGAAGAAUAAGCACCGGCUAACUACGUGCCAGCAGCCGCGGUAAUACGUAGGGUGCAAGCGUUAAUCGGAAUUACUGGGCGUAAAGCGUGCGCAGGCGGUUUUGUAAGACAGAGGUGAAAUCCCCGGGCUCAACCUGGGAACUGCCUUUGUGACUGCAAGGCUUGAGUGCGGCAGAGGGGGGAUGGAAUUCCGCGUGUAGCAGUGAAAUGCGUAGAUAUGCGGAGGAACACCGAUGGCGAAGGCAAUCCCCUGGGCCUGCACUGACGCUCAUGCACGAAAGCGUGGGGAGCAAACAGGAUUAGAUACCCUGGUAGUCCACGCCCUAAAACGAUGUCAACUGGUUGUUGGGAAGGUUCCCUUCUCAGUAACGUAGCUAACGCGUGAAGUUGACCGCCUGGGGAGUACGGCCGCAAGGUUG